CUACGUGCCAGCAGCCGCGGUAAUACGUAGGGUGCGAGCGUUAAUCGGAAUUACUGGGCGUAAAGCGGGCGCAGACGGUUACUUAAGCAGGAUGUGAAAUCCCCGGGCUCAACCUGGGAACUGCGUUCUGAACUGGGUGACUAGAGUGUGUCAGAGGGAGGUAGAAUUCCACGUGUAGCAGUGAAAUGCGUAGAGAUGUGGAGGAAUACCGAUGGCGAAGGCAGCCUCCUGGGAUAACACUGACGUUCAUGCCCGAAAGCGUGGGUAGCAAACAGGAUUAGAUACCCUGGUAGUCCACGCCCUAAACGAUGUCGAUUAGCUGUUGGGCAGCAUGACUGCUUAGUAGCGAAGCUAACGCGUGAAAUCGACCGCCUGGGGAGUACGGCCGCAAGAUUAAAACUCAAAUGAAUUGACGGGGGCCCGCACAAGCGGUGGAGCAUGUGGUUUAAUUCGAAGCAACGCGAAGAACCUUACCAGGUCU
rnacentral:rRNA from 1 species